rnacentral:rRNA from 1 species
UACAGAGGGUGCAAGCGUUGUUCGGAAUUAUUGGGCGUAAAGGGCGCGUAGGCGGUUCGGCAAGUCUCUAGUGAAAUCUCUGGGCUCAACUCAGAGUCUGCUGGGGAAACUGCCGGGCUUGAGUGUGGGAGAGGAGAGUGGAAUUCCCGGUGUAGCGGUGAAAUGCGCAGAUAUCAGGGAGGGAACACCGGGUGGGCGAA